CAGGUAGAAUUGAGAUUAGAGAGGCGG
rnacentral:piRNA from 1 species